AUACUUACCUGGCAAGGGAGAGACCAUAAUCAGGAAGGUGGUUCUCUCAGGGCGAGGUUACUCCAUUGCACUUCGGAUAGGUUGACCCCUGUGAUUUCUCCAAAUGUGGGAAACUCAACUCUCUCAUACUGAAAGCUGUAUUUUCUGUUUGUAAAUGCUCUAU